UCUACCCCAGUCUCCAUGCGUUCACCAGCCAAGGAGCUCCGGGAACCUCAUCUAUUCGUGUGUUUAUGGAGGCUGCAUCACACAAGCAUGAUUGAUCAAAUCAUUUGGCCAUUGCCUCUGCGCCCUCCAGGACAGCCUCAGUACCAGUGCAGAGGAGGCUUUGGAGAGGGUAGUGGUGAGAAGAAUGCUUCUGACUCUGGAUACCCAGUGAAACUGUUGUCAAGAGCCUUUCUAGGGCUGGCAGAAAAACGCAGCAAUGAGGGAAGAAUAAUGUCUUAAAACAAAGAGGUGAAGAAACUGAGGCCUGGAGAGUCAAGUGACCUGCUCAGAGUCCCACCGUAUCAGGAACUAGAAUGUCCGUCCAGGCAAGAGGCUUUCUGCCAACCAGCUGCGCUGUAAUAACUCAAUUACUCAACAUUGGACACUUUCACUUGGCAAACAAGUAAUCCUAAAAGAAGAAGA